rnacentral:rRNA from 1 species
AACUUUGGACAAUGGGGGCAACCCUGAUCCAGCCAUGCCGCGUGCGGGAAGAAGGCCUUCGGGUUGUAAACCGCUUUCGUCAGGAACGAAANGGUCUGGGCUAAUACCCCGGACUGAUGACGGUACCUGAAGAAUAAGCACCGGCUAACUACGUGCCAGCAGCCGCGGUAAUACGUAGGGUGCGAGCGUUAAUCGGAAUUACUGGGCGUAAAGCGUGCGCAGGCGGUUCUGUAAGACAGAUGUGAAAUCCCCGGGCUUAACCUGGGAACUGCAUUUGUGACUGCAGGGCUAGAGUGYGGCAGAGGGGGAUGGAAUUCCGCGUGUAGCAGUGAAAUGCGUAGAUAUGCGGAGGAACACCGAUGGCGAAGGCAGUCCCCUGGGUCUGUACUGACGCUCAUGCACGAAAGCGUGGGGAGCAAACAGGAUUAGAUACCCUGGUAGUCCACGCCCUAAACGAUGUCAACUGGUUGUUGGG